CAUACUGUUCGUACCACUACUAUAUCAAUCCUCGAGAGAUUAACGUAUAAAAGGGCGCUCGGGAUCUCGAUUUCGGCAAAAAGCAUUUUUUGUGCAAUCCUAUUCUUUGUUUUCACUUCGUUUCAUUCCACGAAAACCAACCAAAAUCAAAAAUGGGCGCUGAAAAGGUAUCCAUGAACAUUGUUGUCGUCGGACAAGUCCAAUCUGCUAAGGCCAUCAACAAGGUCGCCAAGGCCGCACCAUCCACAAACCAAUCGAUGAUCAGUUAAAUAAUGUAAUGUAGCCCAUCCAUUUCAAGCUCAAAAAUGCCAUAAUCCAAACAAUACAUGUAAUUGAUGUAUCAUAUGUGUUGCCAUUGCUAAAUAAAUCAGACCCUUCCGUUAAU